rnacentral:rRNA from 1 species
GUCUNUUAUGGUCAUUCAUAUAAAGUCUAGCCUGCCCAGUGAUAUAAAAUUUAACGGCCGCGGUAUUUUGACCGUGCAAAGGUAGCAUAAUAAUUAGUCUUUUAAUUGGAGGCUGGUAUGAAAGGCUGAACAAGAGGGUGGCUGUCUCUGAGUUAAAUCUUGAAUUUAACAUUUAAGUGAAAAGGCUUAAAUGUUUUAAGGGGACGAUAAGACCCUAUAAAUCUUUAUAUUUGUAUGUAUAAAAUAGAAAAAUUAAAAUAUUUUUGUUUAAUAGGUGCAAAUAUUUUGUUGGGGCGACAGAAAUAUAAAUUGUAACUGUUUUGAAAAUUUAGUUAAAUAUAUUUAAUUAAGUGAUCCUUUAAUAAAGAUACUAGUUUAAGUUACUUUAGGGAUAACAGCGUAAUUUUUUCUGAGAGUCCAUAUCGAAGAAAAAGUUUGCGACCUCGAUGUUGAAUUAAAGACCUUUAUAGAUGCAAAACUAUAAAAANNNGGAGUCUGNUCGANCUUUAAUCUUA